UGGGGGAGGGGGGGUGCUACUGCACAGGACCGAAAGAAGCUGCAGAGGGUUGUAAAUUUAGUCGGCUCCAUCUUGGGUACUAGCCUACAAAGUACCUAGAACAUGUCAAGGAGGAGUGUCUCAGAAAGGCAAUGUUCAUUAUUAAGGACCUCCAGCACCCAGGACAUGCCCUUUUCUCACUGUUCCCAUCAGGUAGGAGGUACAGAAGCCUGAAGACAUACACUCAGCAAUUCAGGAAGAGCUUCUUCCCCUCUGCCAUCCAAUUCCUAAAUGGACAUUGAACCCUUGGACACUACCUCACUUUUUUAAUAUAUAGUAUUUCUGUUUUUUGCACGAUUUUUAAUCUAGUCAAUAUACAUAUACUGUAAUUGAUUUACUUAUUUAUUUAUUAUUAUUAUUUUAUUUUGUGGGUUUUUUUUCUAUUUUAUGUAUUUAAUUGAACUGCCGCUGUUAAGUUAACAAAUUUCAUGUCGCAUGCCGGUGAUUCUGAUAAACCUGAUCCUGAUUCCUGAAUCUAGGACUGAUUUACUGAGAUUUAUUUCCCCAGCAGAAGACAGGAAAUCAGAUAUGGAGCCAUUUGGUGAAUACCUACUCAAAAUACCAGCAUGAAGUUGAUACCAGAGAUAUCCUGGGUAUAAAGAAUAGCACGUGCAAGAGGCUCUCUUUCUUCCCCUCGUCUCCAGGGCAUGCUUCCCUGGACCAUUGAGAAGUGGCAUCAACGAACGGUCAAGACCUACAAUGAAGGCAACAAUAAGGCUAACAGUCUGAUUAAACUUUGUAUGAAUUAAAAUGCCAUGGCAACGUAGCGAUUGGCACAACACUAUUACAGCCUGGGGUGCUGGAGUUCAGUAUCCUCUGUAAAAAGUUUGUUUGUUCUUCCCAUGUGCAUGUAUAUUUUGUCCCACAGUCCUAAGAUGUACUGGUUAGAAGGUUAAUUGAUCUUUGUUAAUCGUCUUAUGAUUAGACUACAGUUAAAAAGGUGGGUCGCUGGAUGGUAACACUCAUUGGGCUGGAAGGGACUGUUCUGUGCCGAAUUGCUAAAUAUAAAAAAACACAUUAAACUUAAUUGCUACAAUACAAGGUUGAGCUCAAAAGUCAGUUAAAGACAUUUUAAGGUCAGACACUAUACAUUUAUUUAGAGCCUUUGAUGUAAUAGAACUUCUAGGUGCUUCUCAAGCGCAUUAGCAAGCAAAGAACUCUGCUCUACAGAGAUAUUAGAAUAAGAAACUUGAUUGAUGUGAUAUAUAUAAAUGAUGAAAAUGUAGGUAGAUUGCUUAGUAAGUUUGCAGACAGUAUGAAGAUUUGUGGUGGUGUGUACAGCAUAGAGGGCUAUCAAGGUAUAAAGCAGGAUAUAAAUCAAUUACGGUUUGGGGAGGAGAAAGGGUUGAUGAAGUUUAAUUCAAGCAAGUAUGAUAAUUUUGGACUCUGGAAAAUCAAAUAUAAGGGGAAAGUAUAAGGGAAAAUGAUAAGUAUAUAACAGUACUAAGUAUGAAUGCAUCUUAUGGUUUAACUCCAUAGCUCCUUGAAAGUAGUCACAAUGAGAUAGAGUGGUGAAGAAAGUAUAUGGUAUGCUUGCCUUCACAGGAUGGGGCACUGAGUAUAAGAGUAAGAAAGUCAUGUUGCAGCUACAAAAAAACGUUGAUUAGACCUUUGGAGUGCUGUGCGUAACUCUGGUGGCCACACUACAAGAAGGAUGUACAAGCUUUGGAAAGGGUACAGAAGAGGUCUAUCAGGAUACUGCCUACAUUAGAGGAUAUGAGCUAUGAGGUGAGAUUGAAAAAAAAUUGUCUUCUCUGGAGAUCGGAGGCUAUGGGUAGACCUGACAGAAUUUUAUAAAAUUAAGAGAGGAGUAGAUAGUGCAGGCAGUCAGAAUCUUUUUCCUAGAGGCCAUUAAUUUAAGGCAGUGAGGGAUGUUUGAAGAGAAUGUUUGUCUUUUAUCUUUUUGUACACAGAAAGUGCAUGGUGCCUAGAAUGGGCUACGAGGGGAGUGGAAGCAGAUACAAUAGUGGUAUCUAAGAGGCUUUUAGACAGACAGAUUAAUACAUAGUGAAGGAAAGGAUAUGGAUCCUGAACGGGCAGAAGAGAUUUAGUUUGGCAUUGUGUGCAGUGCAGACGUCAUGAGCUAUACUGUGCUAUGAGGUUAGAUUGAAGAGAGGAUUUUUUAAAUUAAUUUUUUAUGAGUUUCUACAAUGUGACAAAAAACAGUAAAAAAAGUUUAUACAGUGCAAAACAAACUUAUCAAAUGUACAGUUCAUAACAAUUAAGGAAAAGCACCCAUAGUAGAAUCGUAUAAAAUUAGUUACCACCCCACCCUCCCACUACCCAACUCCAAGCCAAUCUUACGAUAUAUAAGAAAGUUAAUAUGAACUUUUAACACCACAGAGCUGUAUUUAUAAAAAGGUAUAUUGCCCACCACCUGAAAUAUAAUAUGUUUACAUAUCAAAAAAAAAACAAAAAUCUUAACCGAAAGCAGCUGCAAAUAAGGGAUUUAAAUGCAAAAGAAAAAAAGGGAGGGUUGCACCCUUAAUCUAAAGGGGAAUUAUGAAAAUAUUCAAGAAAAGGUCCCCACACCUUUUGGAACUUUAUGUCCAAAUUAAGAAGUAAAUAAUGAAUCUUUUCAAGGUCUAAGCAGGACAUAAAGUCUCUGAGCCAUUGAGCAUGAGUGGGUGGAGCAGCAUCUCUCCACCUAAGAAGGACUACACAUCUGGCCAAAAGAGAGUUGAAAGACAAUGUACGACACUUAGUUGGAGGCAGAUACAUGUCAACUUCUCCUAAAGUACCAACAAGAGCAAUCAGAGGGUUAGAAGAGAGCAUUUUAAAGGGUAGAGAAACUAAAUGUUCAAAAUGGAAUUUCAGAACUCAGAACAUCAGGGGAACAAAAACUGAUUAAAGGAGAGGCUCUAGUUGUUGGAAUAUGAAAUUCCUAGAGGGUUAUAGGGUGGAAAGGGUUAGAAAGAUGAAAUGGGGGAAGAAACGGUGAUACUGCUAGAACACAGCAAGGAGAAUUAAUAGUGGGUGAUAGUCACUGUUCCCUCAAAUCUGGACUGGUGUGUGGCUGCACAGUAACUGAAAAGCCCUUGUUGCUGCACAGCUAGAAUUUUCUUUAUAUAAUGUUAAUAUAAUUUUAUAAUCUGUGUUAAUAUAAUUAUGAAAUACCCUGCAAUUAUGUAUUAUUGAAUAAAACCCAUAAAUUUUCUAAAUAAUAAAUGUACCACAACCUUUACUUUGAAAUAUUUUAGAACUUCAAUGCAUUUACUUUGUCAGUGUUUCAAGCUACAACAUUGUUACAAAUUGCAACAAUAAACACAGAAUAGAAGUCGGUAACUCCCUGGUAUAAACCACCAGCCCACUGAAUAUCGACACCAUCUAGUCAAAACAUUUUUCUUUUGCCAUUGCUCCUGUCACUUGUUUUGACUGCCUGAAAUCAUUUAUGAAAAGGUUUACGAAGUGACAGAUUUUCUUUGUUGUACUGUAAUUUAUU